AAAGUCGUAACAAGGUUUCCGUAGGUGAACCUGCGGAAGGAUCAUUAUCCAUCUCAACCAGGUGCGGUCGCGGCCUCCGGGGGUUCUCUCCCGGGUGGUAAGGGUAACACCUUCACGCGCCGCAUUUCUGAACCCUUUUUAUACGAGCACCUUCGUUCUCCUUCGGUGGGGCAACCUGCCGUUGGAACCAAACAAAACCUUUUUUGCAUCUAGCAUUACCUGUUCUGAUACAAAUAAUCGUUACAACUUUCAACAAUGGAUCUCUUGGCUCUG
rnacentral:misc_RNA from 1 species